GAAUUUCUGGAGAUUGCAGAAGAAAUCGAUUGUGCGAACAGAGAAACCCUAGCGAGCAGAAGAAGAAGAAGAAGAAGAGAAACUAGAACCGAUCAAUCGUGAUGGGGAAGAAGAAGAAGAGAACGGCGGAGAAGGUGUGGUGCUAUUACUGCGAGAGAGAGUUCGAGGACGAGAAGAUUCUAGUGCAGCACCAGAAAGCCAAACACUUCAAGUGCCAUGCCUGCCACAAGAAGCUCUCUACCGCUAGCGGCAUGGUCAUUCAUGUCCUUCAAGUUCAUAAAGAGAACGUCACAAAGGUUCCUAAUGCUAAAGACGGUCGAGAUUCAACUGAUAUUGAAGUAUACGGAAUGCAAGGAAUUCCACCUGAUGUCUUGGCUGCUCACUACGGAGAAGAAGAGGAAGAGUCUGCAGCCAAAGUUGCAAAAGUUGAGAUUCCUUCCGCCCCUCUUGGUGCUGCAGUUCCUAGACCUUACGGAAUGGUGUAUCAACCUCAACAAGUCCCUGGUGCUGUACGACCUAUGUAUUAUCCUGCUGCUCCUAUGCGUCCUCCUGGUCCUGGGUGGCCUAUGCCUCCUCCUCGCCCACAACAAUGGUAUCCACAUAAUCCAGCGGUUUCUGUUCAUCCACCUGCCCAUUUAGGGUAUCAACCACAACAGCUCUUUCCUGUUCAUGGUAUGGGGAUGACUGUGCCAACACCAUCUCAUGUAGUCAAUGGAGUCACUCCAGUAAAUCCUUCAUCAUCUCCCGCAAUGCCGGUUUCUCAACCUCUGUUCCCUGUUGUGAAUAGCAUCACUCCUUCCCAAGCUUCCCCUUUUUCUGCUCCCCUUCCCGUAGGAGGAUCAGUGAACCCAUAUCCGCCUAAUAACUCUUUUCCAGUGGGUGGGACUAAUCCUCAUUCGUAUGCCUCUGGUCCAGACACUAGUGGUCCUUCAAUCGGUCCACCUCCUGUGAUUGCAAAUAAAGCUCCUAGCUCUCAGCCUAAUGAGGUCUAUCUUGUAUGGGAUGAUGAAGCAAUGUCUAUGGAAGAAAGAAGAAUGUCCUUACCGAAAUACAAGAUGCAUGAUGAAACCAGCCAGAUGAACUCGAUAAAUGAAGCUAUAGACAGACGAAUCUCAGAGAGUAGGCUUGCUGGGCGGAUGGCAUUUUAGAGUUUUGACACCAAACCAAACCUGUGUGUCUGAAGAAACCAUCCAAGAAGAGGACGAUGAUGGGCUUUUGUUACAACUCUUCACUCACAUUUAUUCAGGUACUUUAUGAUAUCAGGACUCAAGAGAUCUGGAGUUAAAGAAAUCAGCCAAUAUUUAAUGGACCAAGCAGUUAAGAAACCAUGGGAGGAAGAUCCAUUCACCAUGGGUGAUGGGUGAAGAAGCCAUGAAGAACAUCUCUCUCUCUUGAAGUUGUUAGAGAGAGAGAUUACUAGACCAAGUUCAUUGGUUUAGUAAAAAAGUUAAAAAACUAACCUCGUACUUUUAUAGUCUUCUGUAUCAGAAAUUAAACGAGAAGUAAACCAAAGGAGGUGGUACCAUAUGGCAUGGAGCACCGUCUAAUGGACUGGAGAGAACUAGCGAGGCGUUGUCAAAGAUUAAACAUUUAGAAAUAUAAUCUUACUACAAACAGACAGAGGAUUACAAAGGAAUAAGAUAAAGCAACAUAGUUUUUUCUUAA